UGAGUAACACGUAGGUAACCUGCCCAUGUGCCCGGGAUAACUUCUGGAAACGGAUGCUAAAACCGGAUAGGUAGCAGACAAGCAUUUGACUGCUAUUAAAGUGGCUAAGGCCAUGAACAUGGAUGGACCUGCGGUGCAUUAGCUAGUUGGUGAGGUAACGGCCCACCAAGGCGACGAUGCAUAGCCGGCCUGAGAGGGCGGACGGCCACAUUGGGACUGAGACACGGCCCAAACUCCUACGGGAGGCAGCAUG
rnacentral:rRNA from 1 species